GUGGGGAAUAUUGGACAAUGGGCGAAAGCCUGAUCCAGCCAUGUCGCGUGUGUGAAGAAGGUCUUCGGAUUGUAAAGCACUUUAAGUUGGGAGGAAGGGUAGUAACCUAAUACGUUGCUACUUUGACGUUACCGACAGAAUAAGCACCGGCUAACUUCGUGCCAGCAGCCGCGGUAAUACGAAGGGUGCAAGCGUUAAUCGGAAUUACUGGGCGUAAAGCGCGCGUAGGUGGUUCAGUAAGUUGGAAGUGAAAUCCCCGGGCUCAACCUGGGAACUGCGUUCAAAACUGCUGAGCUAGAGUACGGUAGAGGGUGGUGGAAUUUCCUGUGUAGCGGUGAAAUGCGUAGAUAUAGGAAGGAACACCAGUGGCGAAGGCGACCACCUGGACUGAUACUGACACUGAGGUGCGAAAGCGUGGGGAGCAAACAGGAUUAGAAACCCCAGUAGUCC
rnacentral:rRNA from 1 species